rnacentral:rRNA from 1 species
AUUGAACGCUGGCGGCAUGCCUUACACAUGCAAGUCGAACGGCAGCACGGGUGCUUGCACCUGGUGGCGAGUGGCGAACGGGUGAGUAAUACAUCGGAACAUGUCCUGUAGUGGGGGAUAGCCCGGCGAAAGCCGGAUUAAUACCGCAUACGAUCCACGGAUGAAAGCGGGGGACCUUCGGGCCUCGCGCUAUAGGGUUGGCCGAUGGCUGAUUAGCUAGUUGGUGGGGUAAAGGCCUACCAAGGCGACGGUCAGUAGCUGGUCUGAGAGGACGACCAGCCACACUGGGACUGAGACACGGCCCAGACUCCUACGGGAGGCAGCAGUGGGGAAUUUUGGACAAUGGGCGAAAGCCUGAUCCAGCAAUGCCGCGUGUGUGAAGAAGGCCUUCGGGUUGUAAAGCACUUUUGUCCGGAAAGAAAUCCUUGACUCUAAUACAGUCGGGGGAUGACGGUACCGGAAGAAUAAGCACCGGCUAACUACGUG